rnacentral:rRNA from 1 species
GGUAACUUAGUCUUAUAUUCAUUAUCAAUGGAUCACGCACCUACUCAUCAGUAUUUAAUACAUAAGAAGAGUUUAUUUUAUCUCCCCGUCACCCCAACCAAACAAUUUUAAGUUAAACCUCGACUCUCCCUAAAUCUAUUUAUUACCUGUUCAAUUGUCAAACUCUAUAGGGUCUUCUCGUCCUCUAAUCCUAUUUUAGCCUUUUAACUAAAAAGUUAAGUUUUAACCCAAUCCUUACGAGACAGUCAACACCUCGUCCAACCAUUCAUGCCAGCCUCUAAUUAAGAGACUAAUGAUUAUGCUACCUUUGCACGGUCAAAAUACCGCGGCCCUUCAAUUUUUCAGUGGGCAGGCUAGACCUCUUAUAUUUUCAAGAAGCG